rnacentral:ncRNA from 1 species
AGAUAACUGAGCCUUGAAGGAGAAAUCCCUCAAGUGGAAGCUCUCAAACUCAGGGAAACCUAAAUCUGGUGACAGACAUGGCAAUCCUGAGCCAAGCCGAAAAAAGUCGUGAGUGCAGAGUAAAUUAAAACUCUUAACUCCUAACUAUUCGGAAGGUGCAGAGACCCGACGGGAGCUACCCUAACGUUAAGUCGAGGGUAAAGGGAGAGUCCAAUUCUCAAAACCUGAUUUGGCUAUUGCCAUCAGGCAGCAGUGAAAACUGCGGGAGGAUG